rnacentral:sRNA from 1 species
GCUGGGUAUGGUGGCGCAAGCCUGUAAUCCCAGUGGCUCCGUAGGCUGAGAUAGGAGGAUCUCAAGUUCUAUGCUUGCCUCAGCAAAACCAAGGUGCCAAGCAACUCAGUGAGACCCUGUCUCUA